GGUGACGGACAGGGAGGCCUGGCGUGCUGCAGUCCAUGGGGUCACAAAGAGUCGGACACGACUGAGUGACUGAACUAACUGACUGACCAGGAAAGCCCCUAGAUAUGAUUAGUCUCCAAUUAAAGUUACUAAGAUAUUGCUCAGGUGCAGUGGUGGGGGGUGGGGAUAAUUUUGAGUGGUGAGCAAUUGGGUAAAUAGUACCUAAUCACAAGCAUAGUAGUGAUUAUUUAUAUAGCACUUCUACAUCCAGAGACUCUGCUAUGGUUUGUAGCUUUACCUGUACCUGUUUAUUCCUUUAUUGUCUCAAAUCCAAGAAGCAGUGUUGAAGUAAGGACACCAAGGUCCAAAGAAGAGAGUGACUUCUGGGGACAGAAGAAGGGGGCUUGCGAAGGAAGUCGGAAAGUGAAUGUGCUCCAGGGAGCUGGCUGUUUUCCUUUGCAGAAAUUGUCUCUGAAGUGAAGUAGAGGGGACCAUCCACAAGGAAGGAGUGGCAGUGAAGGGACCUGGAAGACCACAGGCAUCAGAGUCACUCAAACAUGGACAGAACACAUUGGAUCCUCUGCCAGGAUCUCAGUGACUGUGUUCCCUGCUUGUUCAUUUCAUGCUGCUUUUCGAAAAGCCUCCCGCUUCCUUUCUGACAGUUGCAUCUGCUCACUCCUAAAUGAAAGCAGCUUCAGGAAAGCACUGGCCAACAUCUGAGCAAUGGGAGGGCUGUUUGUCACCCCGCUGUGUAAUCCUGAGAUUGAAGUUUGUUUUAAGCUCUUGCAUCCCACCAGAUUUCCUUUUGGACCUUUAACCAACUGUUCUGUUUCUGUGGUCUUAUUUUUCACUGAUUUUAGGUGUUAUAAUUCAUGUUCUUUCAUAACAUUCUUUUGUAUGUGUCAAUAAAACAUUGUGCUUUUCUGUA